GCAAGUCGCACGGGCAGGGCAACCUGUCAGUGGCGGACGGGUGAGUAACGCGUAGGUAUCUAUCCUUGGGUGGGGGACAACGGUUGGAAACGACUGCUAAUACCGCAUGAUAACUGAGGUUUAAAGGCGCAAGUCGCCUGAGGAGGAGCCUGCGUACGAUUAGCUAGUUGGUGGGGUAAAGGCCUACCAAGGCUGUGAUCGUUAGCUGGUCUGAGAGGAUGAUCAGCCACAUUGGGACUGAGACACGGCCCAAACUCCUACGGGAGGCAGCAGUGGGGAAUAUUGGACAAUGGGCGAAAGCCUGAUCCAGCAAUGCCGCGUGUGUGAAGAAGGUCUUCGGAUUGUAAAGCACUUUCGACGGGGACGAUGAUGACGGUACCCGUAGAAGAAGCCCCGGCUAACUUCGUGCCAGCAGCCGCGGUAAUACGAAGGGGGCUAGCGUUGCUCGGAAUGACUGGGCGUAAAGGGCGCGUAGGCGGAUGGCACAGUCAGAUGUGAAAUUCCCGGGCUUAACCUGGGGGCUGCAUUUGAUACGUGUUGUCUAGAGUGAGGAAGAGGGUUGUGGAAUUCCCAGUGUAGAGGUGAAAUUCGUAGAUAUUGGGAAGAACACCGGUGGCGAAGGCGGCAACCUGGUCCUUGACUGACGCUGAGGCGCGAAAGCGUGGGGAGUAAACAGGAUUAGAUACCCUGGUAGUCCACGCUGUAAACGAUGUGUGCUGGAUGUUGGGCGACCUAGUCGCUCAGUGCCGUAGCUAACGCGAUAAGCACACCGCCUGGGGGAGUGCGGCCGC
rnacentral:rRNA from 1 species